GGACCGCUAUCUCAGCUGGAAGAGAAGCCGCCUCAUAAGCGGCGGGUCCUGGGUUCGAAUCCCAGGUGGUCCA
rnacentral:tRNA from 1 species